UCCAAAAUAAAAAAAAUCCCCCCCCAAAAUCCGGUUACUCUCAUUUUAUUGUGUAUUUUUGAUUGAUUUUUUUUUUUGUAUUUUGUGGAUGCAUUUUUUCUGAUUUGUGGAUUAUUGUGGCUGCUAGAAAACUAGGAUUUCCUCUAGUUGCUGUUUUUGUGGUUUCUUGAUUGCCUAAGGAUUUUUUUAGGAUUGCCGAUUGUUGGGUUUUUUUUUUUAUUUUUGCUCUUUUUUUUUUGGAUUUUUUUGAUUGCUUCGUUCCCUGCUUUCCGUUGCUACAGUGCCAUUUUAUACACUUGGCUUCUUUGGUCGAGUGUAGUGCUUCCACUACUUUGCCAAACGUGAUUUUUUCGCGUCUGGCAAGAAGGAUGGUGCCCGCACCCUGCCAGACGUACUACUUUUUUUUUAAUUAAUUAAUUUUUAAUUUUUAUUUUUUUUUUGUUUAUCUAAGAAAAUUUACAGUGUCUACAGUUUCUACAUUACUUUUAUCAUUGUAUGGAGUGAUAUAAUUUCUUGUAAGAUAGUUUUAUUUGUAUUGUAUCGGGAAUGUGUUAUUAGUUAGAAUCAAACAUCUAAAAUGAUGUAAUACCAAAGUCAAUUUAAUAAUUUCUCUUAUUUUACA
rnacentral:lncRNA from 1 species